rnacentral:rRNA from 1 species
AGACACGGUCCAGACUCCUACGGGAGGCAGCAGUGGGGAAUAUUGCACAAUGGGCGCAAGCUUGAUGCAGCCAUGUCGCGUGUAUGAAGAAGGCCUUCGGGUUGUAAAGUACUUUCAGUAGGGAGGAAGGUGGUUAAGUUAAUACCUUAAUCAUUUGACGUUACCUACAGAAGAAGCACCGGCUAACUCCGUGCCAGCAGCCGCGGUAAUACGGAGGGUGCGAGCGUUAAUCGGAAUUACUGGGCGUAAAGCGCAUGCAGGUGGUUUGUUAAGUCAGAUGUGAAAGCCCUGGGCUCAACCUAGGAAUCGCAUUUGAAACUGGCAAGCUAGAGUACUGUAGAGGGGGGUAGAAUUUCAGGUGUAGCGGUGAAAUGCGUAGAGAUCUGAAGGAAUACCGGUGGCGAAGGCGGCCCCCUGGACAGAUACUGACACUCAGAUGCGAAAGCGUGGGGAGCAAACAGGAUUAGAUACCCUGGUAGUCCACGCCGUAAACGAUGUCUACUUGGAGGUUGUGCCCUAGAGGCGUGGCUUUCGGAGCUAACGCGUUAAGUAGACCGCCUGGGGAGUACGGUCGCAAGAUUAAAACUCAAAUGAAUUGACGGGGGCCCGCACAAGCGGUGGAGCAUGUGGUUUAAUUCGAUGCAACGCGAAGAACCUUACCUACUCUUGACAUCCACAGAAUCUAGCGGAGACGCUGGAGUGCCUUCGGGAGCUCUGAGACAGGUGCU